rnacentral:sRNA from 1 species
UCCAAUGGAAACUAAACCCGCCAACUGG